rnacentral:rRNA from 1 species
UACGGAGGGGGUUAGCGUUAGUCGGAUUUAUUGGGCGUAAAGGGCGCGUAGGCGGAUAUGUAAGUUGGGGGUGAAAUCCCAGGGCUCAACCCCGGAACAGCCUAUGAACCUGCCAAUCUGGAGGGCGGGCGAGGUGAAUGGAAUUCCUGGAGUAGAGGUGAAAUUCGUAGAUAUGAGGAAGAACACCGGUGGCGAAGGCGGCUCUCUGGAUCGGUACUGACGCUGAGGCGCGAAAGCAUGGGGAGCAAACAGG